AAAAGGGAAUGUGUGAUUAUAGUCUUUUCUCAUUGAUCAUUACAUUUUCCAGACUGCAGUCAGAAGAGGGAGAAAGGAAAGAGGAUCAGAUGGUGACUACAUCCCAGCCUAAAGCAGGAAGGGAAAGGUUGAUACAGUCCAUUAAAGCAGAACGUGAGACGGGAAAAAAUGGACUUCUUGAUUCUUGUCUCAUUUAGCAAAUUCCUGAAGCAGUGGAGAGCAGAAAAUGAGGCAUAUGGCUCCAGAGAGGAGGUGCUGGCUGCCAGCACAGACUUCCCCAGCAGCAACAGGACAGCCCCUAAGGCUGCAUCUGGACCCCCAGGUGGGGACCAGGCUUCAGCAGAGCAUGAGAAUUCUAUCGUGAUCAGAAGGACAUUCUAGGUAACUCAAGUGCAUUUGUGACCGAGCAAGAAGAGUUCAAUUUUCUCUAUUACCCAAAGGAGAGAGAAGUGAAAAUUCAAAUUGCACUUUUUCCCCAGGCUUGGUGUGCUCUCUCUGUUCCACACAGUUGGAGCAAUCCUGCCAACUGAUUUCCAACACAUUCCUCAUAAGGGCAGACCCUGGCACAGCCAUUCCCCUGAUCCUGCACUCCAAAUGAAUCCCUAGCAAAGCACACAGACACUGAGGCAGCACGAAUCCACAGCCAGGCUUCUCCACGUGGAAUUCACUCAGCACAGCAUGGGCUUAAGCCAAGGAUUUCAGUUCAGGGAGCGACUUCAGCAUCUGAAUUAAAACCCUCUCAGCAGUGUGUGUUACCACUUGGCCGCUGGCCCGCCUUGGGAGCAUCUGCAGCAGCAGCAGCUUCCAAGGGGCAGAGCGCUGCUCCCACCACAUCUGGAGCAGCACAGCUGGCCUGCAGCCAAACCCUUCUGCUCACAGGGGUCACUCCAGUGCUCCAGCUGCAGCCACGAGCCAAGUGUGGGAGUACAAAGAGCAGCAAAGCAACCGGACUUGUUCUGUUCGCACCACCAGAUUAGGGCUGGGGAACCCUCAGGGCUUUGGGACAAACUGCACCACAAGUUUGCCUUUUUUGGGGGAAGAAACCCUGUAGCUCAACUUGGCUGUUUUAGUUUACAGCCUGGUUGAAGCUCUAAUGUUCACACUGGAUGCAAGGAGGGCCCUGCUCACCACUCAGUUGCAGUGGGAACCUCAUACCCAACAGCCACAACAGCCUCUGGAAAACAAAUCCCAAAUCCAUAGCCAGCCGUAGGCAUAAGGCAUUUUUAAAAGCCCCCCAGCGAGUGCUUUGUAAUUAGAAAUUGCAGGAAAUGACUCAGACAUUCUCCGAAUUUUAAUUUUCCCUCAGUUUCUAAUUUAGCCGGAAGAAAUCAAUUAGUCCCCAGUUAGGAGUAUCUACCAUCUCUGAAACUUGGAUAUUCAC
rnacentral:lncRNA from 1 species